CCUACGGGUGGCAGCAGUGAGGAAUAUUGGUCAAUGGGCGGAAGCCUGAACCAGCCAAGUAGCGUGCAGGAUGACGGCCCUACGGGUUGUAAACUGCUUUUAUACGGGAAUAACGCGCCUUACGUGUAGGGCUUUGCAUGUACCUUAUGAAUAAGGACCGGCUAAUUCCGUGCCAGCAGCCGCGGUAAUACGGAAGGUCCGGGCGUUAUCCGGAUUUAUUGGGUUUAAAGGGAGAGUCGGCCGCAUGUUCAGUGUGCUGUGAAAUGUCCGGGCUCAACCCGGGACUUGCAGCGCGAACCGGCGGGCUUGAGUCCGGGGGAAGCAGGCGGAAUUCGUCGUGUAGCGGUGAAAUGCUUAGA
rnacentral:rRNA from 1 species